rnacentral:rRNA from 1 species
UACGGAGGGUGCAAGCGUUGUUCGGAUUCACUGGGUAUAAAGGGUGCGCAGGCGGCCCGAUAAGUCAGAGGUGAAAUAUGACGGCUUAACCGUCAAACUGCCCCUGAAACUGUUGGGCUUGAGUCCGGGAGAGGAAGGUGGAAUUCCAGGUGUAGCGGUGAAAUGCGUAAAUAUCUGGAGGAACACCGGUGGCGAAGGCGGCCUUCUGGCCCGGAACUGACGCUCAGGCACGAAAGCUAGGGGAGCGAACGGG